UACGUAGGGGGCAAGCGUUGUCCGGAUUUAUUGGGCGUAAAGAGCGUGUAGGCGGCCAAAUAGGUCGGUUGUGAAAACUGGAGGCUUAACCUCCAGACGUCGACCGAAACCAUCUGGCUAGAGUCCGGAAGAGGAGAGUGGAAUUCCUGGUGUAGCGGUGAAAUGCGCAGAUAUCAGGAAGAACACCCGUGGCGAAGGCGGGUCUCUGGCCGAUACUGACGCGAGGAGCGAAAGC
rnacentral:rRNA from 1 species